CCCAUCUCAGGAUGGCAACUGGAGAGUUUCCAGGACUCUACCAGUCUUAGCUACAGGAGGGAGAGUCAAGCAGAGGCCUACCAAUUCCAUUCUUAGCUUGGCCAGUGGCUAGCGAGUGGAAGGCCAUCUGCUACAGAU